rnacentral:sRNA from 1 species
GCCAGGUGUGGUGGCUUACACCUGUAAUCCCAGCAACUCAGGAGGCUAAGGCAGCAGGAUCGCAAGUUUGAAGCCAGCUUGAGCUACUUAGCGAGACCCUGCCUCAU